CUAGGUUUAUUAACAACAUGGAUCACCCCACACAAUGCCCGGCAAUCACACCUCAAAGAGGGGCUACGCAUGGCAUUAUGGCAUGGUCAUCAUAUCCAUAUAUACCCUUCCCACCUCAUUAAGGUAUUAAAGCAUGUAAUGGUCUAGUUUACUUAUUGCAUGAUAUUACCCGUCAUAAUUCUAUCAGUCCCCAGAAGCAUUUAGGACUACUAGUACCAAAGGGGAAGGACAUUUGAGCUUAUUUGGUGGUUUUAAAAGAAUAAAUUCUAAGGCGACAUACAAAAAUAUGAAUAGCAAGUUGAGGGAAAGCAUAUAACAAGUAAAAAGGCUCAGAUAUACCUCCUUUAGACAGAGAACGGAUUUAAUUAGCAUGACUUACACAUGUUGUUUAGGUUCUGAUUAAGAACUUAUAGGUUGAGGCAGACUGAUUUAUCACAUAAUUCAGAUAAGAAGUCCCAAUCAAGCCUGCCUGCUGGUUGUAGUUAUUAAAAUAACUGAUUUAAUUUAAACCUUACCUUAAGGCUUGUCUAAGUGGGACAAGGAUCCUAUAGGCAUGGUAUCUACUGAAUUCAGAACGUGAUAAUAAUAAAUGAAUACAUACUGGUUAAAAGAUAGUGAGAUAUUAAAGAAAGGAAAGUUCUUACAGAGGUUGUAAGUUCUGCAAAUGAUACAUCGUUAUUACUGGUUUUAGGCUUAUACGUGAAUGGAGUGAUUCAGAUUUCAAUUGAUAGUUCCUAUAGCCAUAAUUUCUAUGUGUUGUUGAUUUUAAUCCCUUUUAUAGACAUGGUGAAAAUGCAUAUGCCUUAUCGAUAUGAUAUCUAGAUGUUAAAUUUCAUUUAAUGCCUAUGGACAUGAUAUCUAAUUGCAGUUGAUUCGUCUAAGACAUAUGAACAUGAUUGCUAGAUAAGGAAUGGAUAUGCAAGAUUCAGAAGGACCUAUAGGAAUAUUUCUAUAUGCAUAUGUAGAAUUUAAAUUUUUAGAAAUACUUAUGGACAAGAUAUCUAUAUGAGAAUGCAGAAUUCAGAAACGUCUAUAGACAUGGCAUCUAUGUGAGAAAUGCAGAAUUCAGAAAUACCUAUAGACAUGGUAUUUAUGUGAGAAAUGCAGAAUUCAGAAAUACCUAUAGACAUGGUAUCUAUAUGAGAGAAUGCAGAAUUCAAAAAACACCUAUAGACAUGGUUUCUAUAUGAGAGAAUGCAUAAUUCAUAGAUACCUAUAGGCAUGAUAUUUACCAUACGUAGUUACCCGCCCUUUUUUCACUAGCCAUCCCUAGGAGUUUAUUACAAAUUAUUACAGCCCACAAUAAAGUAAAAGAAUAUAUCAGAAAUUGAAAGUACAACUAAGGAGAGCCUGAUUCAUACUUCAUGUCUGAAAUAUGAGAUUAAACAACUCCAAGAGAUCAUGAUGCAAAGCCUUUCUCCCAUUUGAAUGCGUUAAAGUUCCCUAAGAGCCUCAAAUGGGACUCUAGGAAAUGCUCACACCCAAAUACAUUAUCAAAUUAGGACAAGUGUAGUGUGGAAAGGACAGCACCCCAAGUGUCCAAUUUCAGAGGGAACUCAAGGUCCUAAGGCAAGGUUCACAAGAGGGGGGUGAAAACUAGAGACUAAGAGAGAGUAAAAGUGCAUAAGCAGAAUUCUAAGAGUGAAAAAGGGGGAAGACAAGUACACGUAAGAGGUUUAGGGGGGUAGGGAAAUUGAAAGAGCAAGGGCAGGCUGUGGGCAUACCCAACAAUGGAGAAUGCUAGCACACUCAUAAGCCUGUUAGAACACACUAUUAGAGGCUAGGAUCUUGGGAUUAGGUUUAAUUCAUGGACAAUAAUCUACAUAUUGCCAUGACUUAAGCCAUAGCUCAAACAUAUAAGGGGCGGGGUUUGGGGAUUCAUAAUAGAAACAAGCAGAAAGAAUCAACAUGCUAAUUUGAAUGUUGGAACUACACAGAAACAGUAAAUAGACAUGGAUACAAAAGCAGUAAAUAGACACAUUUAUUCUGGUUCUUAAGCUUAAAUCAGGACAUACCAGUUUCAAAGAGACAAAUAGAGAAAAGCAGCAGGUCUUGUAAACACGCCACGGUGUAGACAGGAAGAGAUAACACCAUUGUGUAUAAGUGUAAGUUCAUAAAGAUUAUGAAUGUCUCCGUUUUUUAAUGAAAGAGUCCUGCAUUUAUAGUGUGAAAAUCAGGCAGACAUAAGGUUAAAAAAUAGUUAAGGAACAUGUCAAUCAUGAAUCAAGCACAGAAGACUUCCUUUAAUUAAGGAAUUCAUAUUCAAACGGGAAAACUAUUUAAAGGAAGAAAUCAAAUAAACAUCUUGUACAAAGCAUGAAAUUAGGGGUAAAUACAUAAAAGUUACUUAAGGCAGAAUUUUAAAAUACACGAUUGCAUAAAUUAGGUAAGAAAAAUCAAAUAGUAGCUAGUAAAUCAAGGAUCAGAGAUUUUGUGAUCAUUGGUUCAUGAAUGAACCAAGUUAGAAAAGUUAGGGAAAGCCAGGUAACUUAAAUCGAGUCAUGGGGAAAUCAGCAAAUAGUGAAAGAAAUCAAUCAGACAUAUACAGAAGGGAGUCUGAGCUAAUCACAAAUUUGAAAGCCAUUUUAGAGGGAAGUUCAGCACAUAUAAAAAACACACAAACAUCUUAAGCUGAAAGAAGAUGUUGUGUCAAUGAAAAAUCUGUAGAUAAUAGACUAUAGGAGCAUGGUAGCCACAUAGGUCAGCAAUAUAGAAGAGAAGUAACAUCUAGUAGCAUACAAAAGAUCCAGUGUAAAAGACCUUAGAAAAGCUUAGUGGAAAAUUAAGAUUGCUUAAAGGAUAGGGGUUGAGACAAAGAAUUUCGAGACUCGCUUGAGAAAUAAGUUCAGAACCUCGAAAUAGUCUGUGUUUCUGAACUCAGACACCUUUAAAGAUGAAGAACAAACAUAUCUCAAAGCCAAUGUUCUCAAACUUUGGAUGAACCCCUAAAUUUUAGGGUUUCACUAUCAAUCGAGUGCCGAUAUGAGAGGGCAAGUAAUCAAGAAAGCAAAAGAUACUAGUCGAAACAAGCUCAUAAAGGAUCUAGGACCUUUGACAUGCUUUUUUGAUAACAAAAACUCAUGAGAAACAUAGUAAAAGAGUAAUAUGUAACUCACUGUAGAAGUACUGGUAUAAGAAACAAAUAAGAACAUCGUAGGAGAAUCUUAACAAGAGCACAAUAGGAGCAAUAUAAUAGAAUAACAUGGUAGAAGAGAUUUAACAAGAACACAUUAGGAGAAACAUAGUAGAAAAACACACAAGAAAAGAAUAAAACCAAAGAAACACACAAGAAAAUCAUAUAAGCUCAACAUAAAACACUAACUCGGAAAAUAAAGGUUUUGAAACUAUAACAUUUGAAAAAACUAUCAGAAAAUCGUUUAAAAACUCAAGGGAAGCAUAAACCUAGAACAGAUCUAAAGAGAUCAGAAAAACCUCAAAGCUAAGGUUUUCAGAGGAACCCAAACAGUGAGAAAGGCUUGGAUCUAAGCAGGAUGAGUUGAGGCCAGGCUCGAAUAGAUACGGUUUGCCGUAGCAAGGCCAGAGAUGGACGUGGAACUUGAAUCGACAAAAGUCUGGACCCAACUCUUCAUGGUCGAGUCAUGAAGCUUCAGUUAACAAAACGUGAGGAGCCAUAUGUGGCUUGGUGGGUGGUGAAACCACCAUAGACUUAGGUUAAAAUGUGGUCAGAUAAAAUGAAGGUAACUCAUUGGAAAGGAGGGAAGGGGGAAGGCUUUAGAGAGAAG
rnacentral:lncRNA from 1 species